rnacentral:rRNA from 1 species
GACGAACGCUGGCGGCGUGCUUAACACAUGCAAGUCGAACGGAAAGGCCCUGCUUUUGUGGGGUGCUCGAGUGGCGAACGGGUGAGUAACACGUGAGUAACCUGCCCUUGACUUUGGGAUAACUUCAGGAAACUGGGGCUAAUACCGGAUAGGAGCUCCUGCUGCAUGGUGGGGGUUGGAAAGUUUCGGCGGUUGGGGAUGGACUCGCGGCUUAUCAGCUUGUUGGUGGGGUAGUGGCUUACCAAGGCUUUGACGGGUAGCCGGCCUGAGAGGGUGACCGGCCACAUGGGGACUGAGAUACGGCCCAGACUCCUACGGGAGGCAGCAGGGGGGAAUAUUGCACAAUGGGCGGAAGCCUGAUGCAGCAACGCCGGGGGGGGGAUGACGGCCUUCGGGUUGUAAACCGCUUCCGCCUGUGACGAAGCGUGAGUGACGGUAAUGGGUAAAGAAGCACCGGCUAACUACGU